rnacentral:rRNA from 1 species
UACGGGGGGGGCAAGCGUUGUUCGGAAUUACUGGGCGUAAAGGGCUCGUAGGCGGCCAACUAAGUCAUACGUGAAAUCCCUCGGCUUAACCGGGGAACUGCGUCUGAUACUGGAUGGCUUGAGUUCGGGAGAGGGAUGCGGAAUUCCAGGUGUAGCGGUGAAAUGCGUAGAGAUCGGCAGGAACACCCAGGGGGAAACCAGUCGACUGGGCAUCUACUGACGCUGAGGUGCGAGAGCGUGGGGAGCGAACCGG